rnacentral:scRNA from 1 species
GUACUGGGAUGACAGAUAAAGCAUGCGCACCAUGGCCGAUGACCAGGCAAGGUGCAUGUGGGCCGGGUGUAUGAAUGGACGUGUGAGUGGGUGUCCAAGGCAAGCAGGUGCUCCCCCAGCCGCUCCCCCUCUACACCCUGAUCUUAUUCCACUGGGUCCUGACCCCAGCCCUGCGGGUCUGCCCCAAAUGAAAAGCUGCCCUCCUACAAAGCCCUCUUCUUCUGCUGCUGGUGUGUGUGUGUGUGUGUGUGUGUGUGUGUGUGUGUGUGUGUGUGUUUUACUUACAAACGCAA